AAAGUUUCUUACGCCACCGCCAUGGAUUGGUUCAUCGCAGUCUGCUUCGCCUUC
rfam:Takifugu rubripes chromosome, Chr_15